rnacentral:rRNA from 1 species
GAUGAACGCUGGCGGCGUGCCUAAUACAUGCAAGUCGAGCGAACGGACGAGAAGCUUGCUUCUCUGAUGUUAGCGGCGGACGGGUGGGUAACACGUGGAUAACCUACCUAUAAGACUGGGAUAACUUCGGGAAACCGGAGCUAAUACCGGAUAAUAUUUUGAACCACAUGGUUCAAAAGUGAAAGACGGUCUUGCUGUCACUUAUAGAUGGAUCCGCGCUGCAUUAGCUAGUUGGUAAGGUAACGGCUUACCAAGGCAACGAUGCAUAGCCGACCUGAGAGGGUGAUCGGCCACACUGGAACUGAGACACGGUCCAGACUCCUACGGGAGGCAGCAGUAGGGAAUCUUCCGCAAUGGGCGAAAGCCUGACGGAGCAACGCCGCGUGAGUGAUGAAGGUCUUCGGAUCGUAAAACUCUGUUAUUAGGGAAGAACAUAUGUGUAAGUAACUGUGCACAUCUUGACGGUACCUAAUCAGAAAGCCACGGCUAACUACGUG